UACGUAGGGUGCAAGCGUUAAUCGGAAUUACUGGGCGUAAAGCGUGCGCAGGCGGCUUUGCAAGACAGAUGUGAAAUCUCCGGGCUUAACCCGGAACGGUCAAGUGAUACUGUCGUGCUAGAGUACAGAAGGGGCAACUGGAAUUCUCGGUGUAGCGGUGAAAUGCGUAGAUAUCGAGAGGAACACCUGCGGCGAAGGCGGGUUGCUGGGCUGAUACUGACGCUGAGGCGCGAAAGCCAGGGGAGCGAACGGG
rnacentral:rRNA from 1 species